GAAUAUUGGUCAAUGGAUGGAAGUCUGAACCAGCCAUGCCGCGUGCAGGAAGAAGGCCUUCUGGGUUGUAAACUGCUUUUGCCAGGGGAUAAAAUACCCAUGCGUGGGGAAUUGCAAGUACCUGGUGAAUAAGCCACGGCUAACUACGUGCCAGCAGCCGCGGUAAUACGUAGGUGGCGAGCGUUGUCCGGAUUUAUUGGGUUUAAAGUGUGCGUAGGCGGCCUAUUAAGUCAGUGCUGAAAUACCCCGGCUCAACCGGGGGGGUGGCAUUGAUACUGAUGGGCUUGAGUACAGAUGAGGUAGGCGGAAUUGACGGUGUAGCGGUGAAAUGCAUAGAUAUCGUCAAGAACACCUAUAGCGAAGGCAGCUUACUAAGCUGUAACUGACGCUGAGGCACGAAAGUGUGGGGAUCAAACAGG
rnacentral:rRNA from 1 species